UGGGGAAUUUUGCACAAUGGGGGAAACCCUGAUGCAGCGACGCCGCGUGAUUUAGAAGGCCUUCGGGUUGUAAACAUCUUUUCUAUGGGAAGAAAAUGACAGUACCAUAGGAAUAAGGACCGGCUAAUUACGUGCCAGCAGCCGCGGUAAUACGUAAGGUCCGAGCGUUGUCCGGAAUCAUUGGGCGUAAAGGGUACGUAGGCGGGUAAGCAAGUUAGAAGUGAAAUCCUAUAGCUCAACUAUAGUAAGCUUUUAAAACUGUUCAACUUUAGGUAUGUAAGGGAAAGUGGAAUUCCUAGUGUAGCGGUGAAAUGCGCAGAUAUUAGGAGGAAUACCGGUGGCGAAGGCGACUUUCUGGCCAUAACCUGACGCUGAGGUACGAAAGCGUGGGUAGCAAACAGG
rnacentral:rRNA from 1 species